rnacentral:piRNA from 1 species
CCAACAAGUUCUUUCAGAGUUGGCCUCUGU